rnacentral:rRNA from 1 species
GACAGAGGGUGCAAACGUUGCUCGGAAUUACUGGGCGUAAAGCGCGUGUAGGCUGACCGGAAAGUCGGGCGUGAAAUCCCUGGGCUCAACCCAGGAACUGCACUCGAAACUCCCGGUCUUGAGUGGUGGAGAGGGAAGUGGAAUUCCUGGUGUAGAGGUGAAAUUCGUAGAUAUCAGGAGGAACACCAGUGGCGAAGGCGGCUUCCUGGACACCAACUGACGCUGAGACGCGAAAGCGUGGGGAGCGAACAGG